UUGAGAAAGAAUUAACAAGUCUCUGAAAUGGCCUCUCUUCAGCUUACUCUUCCUACUUCCCGAUUCAGGACCGGACCAGUUCGAUGUGCGGCGGAACAACAGGCGCCGCAUUGAACCUGUCCAUGAUAAUUUGUUCCUUUUCACAUCUUUUCCUAAGAUUAUUUCAUUUCGACGCGUGUUGUUCUUUGUUAUGUAUUCAUCUAUAUAUUGGUGGUAUCUUGGUGCGAACUGCAGUUCAAGGAUUCGUUGGGUCUGGAUCAGCAUCGGGUAUGGAAACGAUUUUGAACUUCGACGGAAGGACGGAUAAAUAAUAAUAUGGAAUGGAUGAUAGAAAAUGUUGUCGUCCUAGUGGCAACUGCUUAUGGCCUUGCAGAAGAAUAUCAGUAUUUGAAGAGUUCAAUCAAGGAAUUCUUCACAGGGAAGGAGUUGGAUACACUUUCUGUGGAAGCAGGAUUUUCCGAUGCCAAAUAUUAUGCUACAAUGGAGGGCUCAUGGGUAACUUAGUAGCCAGAUCUUAGAUCGUACUCAUGAUUGGCCCUGGCAACCUCUGCUAGUCUGGAGGAAGGCGAACUGCA